UGGGGAAUUUUGGACAAUGGGCGAAAGCCUGAUCCAGCAAUGCCGCGUGUGUGAAGAAGGCCUUCGGGUUGUAAAGCACUUUUGUCCGGAAAGAAAUCCUUGGCUCUAAUACAGUCGGGGGAUGACGGUACCGGAAGAAUAAGCACCGGCUAACUACGUGCCAGCAGCCGCGGUAAUACGUAGGGUGCAAGCGUUAAUCGGAAUUACUGGGCGUAAAGCGUGCGCAGGCGGUUUGCUAAGACCGAUGUGAAAUCCCCGGGCUCAACCUGGGAACUGCAUUGGUGACUGGCAGGCUAGAGUAUGGCAGAGGGGGGUAGAAUUCCACGUGUAGCAGUGAAAUGCGUAGAGAUGUGGAGGAAUACCGAUGGCGAAGGCAGCCCCCUGGGGCCAAAUACUGACGCUCAUGCACGAAAGCGUGGGGAGCAAACAGGAUUAGAUACCCUGGUAGUCCACGCCCUAAACGAUGUCAACUAGUUGUUGGGGGACUUCAUUUCCUUAGUAACGUAGCUAACGCGUGAAGUUGACCGCCUGGGGAGUACGGUCGCAAGAUUAAAACUCAAAGGAAUUG
rnacentral:rRNA from 1 species